UGUUAUUCCAUAUGAUUGGAAUCGAUGAAAGCACCCAAGGAACAAUUGAAGAGCAAAUGUUGUACAACAGAAAAACAUUGAGGGAAAUUAUAGAAUUGCGAUAUGCUGAUGUCCAAAGAAAGGAAUUUGUAUGCACAACAAAAGCAACAAUUGAUGAUAUUAUAACAGAUAAAGGCUGGUGGUACAUGGCAUGCAAACUUUGCUUUGUGCUACAAAAAAGGAACAUGAUAACUACAUUUGCACUUCCUGUCAUGAAGUAGCUCAAAAUCCAGACAAGCGGUACCUACUUAAACUGAAGGUACGCAAUGGCACGGCAACAACAACUUUCGUGGUGUUUAACGAGGUAGCAAAGAGUCUUUUAGGCAACAUAUCUGCGUCGACCCUAUUAGAGCAGGAGGGAUUCAACAACACGGUACCAGAUGUUAUUCAAAAUCUUUAUGGCAGAACACUCCUAUUCCGACUGAAGUUAAAUUCAAGGAAUCUAGAAGAGUGUAUGGAAAAUUAUAAAGUGAGCUACACUUUUGAAGUUGAUGACAAACUUGAGAUGGAAAAUUCAAAUGAAAUGGCUGAAGAGGUAUGCAUGCACAUUUGAGUAUUUUAAAUGGCUUAUAAAAUUAUAAUAUGAGCACACUCUUUAUAGGGCAUACUGGAAAUGCAAGACACACGAGGUUCUUCAAAUUCUGAUAUGCACAAUUUCC